rnacentral:rRNA from 1 species
AGUGAACGCUGGCGGUAGGCCUAACACAUGCAAGUCGAACGGCAGCACAGUAAGAGCUUGCUCUUACGGGUGGCGAGUGGCGGACGGGUGAGGAAUACAUCGGAAUCUACUUUUUCGUGGGGGAUAACGUAGGGAAACUUACGCUAAUACCACAUACGACCUGCGGGUGAAAGCAGGGGAUCUUCGGACCUUGCGCGAUUGAAUGAGCCGAUGUCGGAUUAGCUAGUUGGCGGGGUAAAGGCCCACCAAGGCGACGAUCCGUAGCUGGUCUGAGAGGAUGAUCAGCCACACUGGAACUGAGACACGGUCCAGACUCCUACGGGAGGCAGCAGUGGGGAAUAUUGGACAAUGGGCGCAAGCCUGAUCCAGCCAUACCGCGUGGGUGAAGAAGGCCUUCGGGUUGUAAAGCCCUUUUGUUGGGAAAGAAAAGCAGCAGGUUAAUACCCCGCUGUUCUGACGGUACCCAAAGAAUAAGCACCGGCUAACUUCGUG